rnacentral:rRNA from 1 species
CGAGGAAUAUUGGUCAAUGGGCGGGAGCCUGAACCAGCCAAGCCGCGUGAGGGAAGAAGGCCCUAUGGGUCGUAAACCUCUUUUGUCAGGGAACAAAAGCGAGUAUGUAUACUGGUCUGAGUGUACCUGAAGAAAAACGCAUCGGCUAACUCCGUGCCAGCAGCCGCGGUAAUACGGAGGAUGCGAGCGUUAUCCGGAUUUAUUGGGUUUAAAGGGUGCGUAGGCGGCGGUGCAAGUCAGCGGUAAAAGCCCGGGGCUCAACCCCGGCGAGCCGUUGAAACUGCAGUGCUAGAGAAGGCGAGAGGUACGCGGAAUGCGCAGUGUAGCGGUGAAAUGCUUAGAUAUUGCGCAGAACUCCGAUUGCGAAGGCAGCGUACUGGCGCCUGACUGACGCUGAGGCACGAAAGCGUGGGGAUCGAACAGGAUUAGAUACC